rnacentral:rRNA from 1 species
UACGUAGGUGGCAAGCGUUGUCCGGAUUUACUGGGCGUAAAGAGCGCGCAGGCGGUCGUUCAAGUCGCGUGUGAAAGCCCCCGGCUCAACUGGGGAGGGUCACGCGAUACUGAUCGACUCGAAGGCAGGAGAGGGUAGUGGAAUUCCCGGUGUAGUGGUGAAAUGCGUAGAUAUCGGGAGGAACACCGGUGGCGAAGGCGGCCCACUGGAUCGGUACUGACGCUGAGGUGCGAAAGCGUGGGGAGCAAACAGG